rnacentral:lncRNA from 1 species
UUUUCUCCUUGCUCAGCUUCAAUGUGUUCCGGAGUGGGGACGGGGUGGCUGAACCUCGCAGGUGGCAGAGAGGCUCCCCUGGGGCUGUGGGGCUCUACGUGGAUCCGAUGGAGCCGCUGGUGACCUGGGUGGUCCCCCUCCUCUUCCUCUUCCUGCUGUCCAGGCAGGGCGCUGCCUGCAGAACCAGUGAGUGCUGUUUUCAGGACCCGCCAUAUCCGGAUGCAGACUCAGGUUCGGGGCAGUUCCUCAUUGUUGGCUGAGGAUUAUGUAGGGCUCUGCCUGACCCCAUCCACAGCGGCCCCUCCCAUGGCCUCCACCACCAGGCCAAAGACCCAGCCCUGCCUGUGGUCUUGGGAGUCCCCACCCCACCACCUGCUGGCCCAUUCUUACCAGGUUCAAGUUGCCCUGGAGUAGCCAGCCGCCUCUCUGAACAUUAUCACUUCCCUAGCAUGGUCUCAGGGCUGGUGUCUGUGUCCGUUCAGAUUGGUCGGUACAUGGGAGAAAGUACCUGUUAAGCAUUUUGAAGCCCCCCCCCCAACCUGAUAAAUUAU